UAAACUCAAAGGAAUUGACGGGGGCCCGCACAAGCAGCGGAGCAUGUGGUUUAAUUCGAAGCAACGCGAAGAACCUUACCAGGUCUUGACAUCCAAUUAAUCUCUAGGAGACUAGAGGUGUGCUUGCACAAAUUGAGACAGGUGGUGCAUGGUUGUCGUCAGCUCGUGUCGUGAGAUGUUGGGUUAAGUCCCGCAACGAGCGCAACCCUCGUUCGAUGUUGCCAGCGGGUUAUGCCGGGGACUCAUCGAAGACUGCCGGGGUCAACUCGGAGGAAG
rnacentral:rRNA from 1 species